rnacentral:rRNA from 1 species
AUACGGAGGAUCCAAGCGUUAUCCGGAAUCAUUGGGUUUAAAGGGUCCGUAGGCGGGUUUGUAAGUCAGUGGUGAAAGUUUUCGGCUCAACCGGAAAAUUGCCAUUGAUACUGCAAGUCUUGAAUCAUUAUGAAGUGGUUAGAAUGUGUAGUGUAGCGGUGAAAUGCAUAGAUAUUACACAGAAUACCGAUUGCGAAGGUAGAUCACUAAUAAUGUAUUGACGCUAAGGGACGAAAGCGUGGGUAGCGAACAGGAUUAGAAACCCUGGUAGUCC